GAAGGGGUCUGCGCUCGGCGCGAGCGGGCGUUCCCGGGUCACUACGCUCCGCGGGUGCCCACGCCUGCCCUCUCCCCUCACGGCCUGCUCUCGGCGCCCCCCUCGCGUCCCUCCUGGGCCUCCUCUCUCUUUCCCCUCAGCCGCGUCUUCUUCCUCCCGCCCUUUCCCCGGAGUCUCGGUCACUGCUGGUGCCCUUGGGCGCGCGGAGCGUAGAAGGUGCGGUUCCCGGGUUCCCGGACUCCCGGCUCCGGCCGCCAGAGAGCAGCAAGCGCCUGGGAUUCUGCAGACUGCGGACUGGACUGCGCCUUGUCGCGGCGGGUCGCUUCCAGGGACUACCUGGCUACCUGGAUGGAUCUACUGCACUUCUCUCAAGGCUUCAGACACCUCCAAGGAAGCAGAGAGGAAAGGAUGGUGCUUUUCUUCAGCACAUAAUCAACAAAUGAUGUUUACAGUCCAAGAAGCACAACUCUGGAAGGUCACUGGAGCCCUGAGCGUGAUCUCCACUUCCUCCUGAGGCUCAGAGAAGGCGCAGAGUUGCUUAGCAUGAUUCCCCGGUGGGCGUUGCUGGAAUGAGAUCAGAACCAGAAGACGCUGCAGGUCCUUGGACCCCCCACCCAAGCUCAUCCAGAGUGACAAGGUCAGUAGGUGGGUGCAGGCCACUGUGGCCCCAUGGGUACCUCUUACUUCUUCCACCUGACAACACGGAGGCUUCCCUAGGACAGAGUAGACAGCCCACCCUGGGCUGGUGGGAGCUCCUGGUGACCCUGCAGGAGGGAGAGGCCAGGCAGGAAGGUAGUGGGCACCCAGGCAGAGCCAGGGGGUUGGGGACAGAGGGGGUCUUUCUGGGUCUGAGUUGGGUAUGAACAAGCAGCUGGUGAGUGUGAUCCAGGAACGCUGCUCUGCUUCAGGGGGACAAGCCUCCUGGGUGACCCCAAAACAGCAUUGUAAGACAAAUCCCAUCAAAAGAAGGAUUAGUAACACGAGUCCCACUGAUGAAGGUUUGCAAAGUGAACCUUCCUAAGUGGAAGCUCUGUGAGCCAGUCCCCUCAAUGGAGGGAGAUGGAAUAUGCCAAGGGGCAGGCAACCACCCUGAGAGGGCAGUGGGUGCACUUUUACCAAUCAUUGUCCGCAACAUAGGCCUGGCUCUGUCGAUAUCAGGGUCCUUUAAUUAGGCGUCCUCAAAUAGCAGCUGUUUUAGGCAUAAAGAGGGAACAGCUCAUGAGUGUAAAACGUUUUCAGAGGAUACUAAUAUUUACUGACUGCUGCUCCGUUGUUGACAUCUUUUUGUCAAAAUUCUCCUGGUUUUAGAUCUUAUGUGGGGAUUACAGAGGAGUCAAAAUUUAAAUUUUUAUUUUAUUUUUGCUUUUUAGGACCACCCAUGGCAUAUGGAGGUUCCCAGGCUAGGGGUCGAAUCAGCUACAGCUGCCAGCCUUCACCACAGCCACAGCAAUGCAGGAUCCCGAGCUGCAUCAGCUCAUGGCAAUGCUGGGAUCCCCAACCCACUGAGCAAGGCCAGGGAUCGAACCCACAUCUUCAUGGACACUAGUCAGAUUCGUUUCCCCUGCGCCAGAACGGGAACUCCAAAAUUUAAAUUUUCACAAUCUGUAUAUUUGUAGUUUCAGUAUCAUUGAUGAACCAUAGUUUUAUGGUUAAGGAAGAAUUUUUUUAUUUUACAUAUCAUGUAAAGAAUUUGUGAUGGCAGUUCUCAUCGUGGCUCAGCGGAAACGAAUUUGACUAACAUCCAUGAGGACGCAGGCUUGAUCCCUGGCCUUACUCAGUGGGUUAAAGAUCCGGCGUUGUGGUGAGCUGUGGUGUAGGUUGCAGAUGCGGCUCAGAUCCCGCAUUGCUGUGACUGUGGCUAUAGACCAGCAGCUGUAGCUCCGAUUCAACCCCUAGCCUGGAGACCUCCAUAUGCCGCCUUAAAAAGCCAAAAAAAAAAAAAAAAAAAAAAAAAAAA
rnacentral:lncRNA from 1 species